GACGAACCGUGCGAACGUUGUUCGGAAUCACUGGGCUUAAAGGGCGCGUAGGCGGGUCUUCAAGUCCGGGGUGAAAGCCCCCAGCUCAACUGGGGAAGCGCCUUGGAUACUGGGGAUCUCGAGGGAGGUAGGGGCGUGCGGAACUUCCGGUGGAGCGGUGAAAUGCGUAGAUAUCGCUUGGAACGCCGAAGGUGAAAACAGGCUGCUGGGGUUGCGCCGACGCUGAGACACGAAAGCCAGGGGAGCAAACGGG
rnacentral:rRNA from 1 species